GAGUUUGAUCAUGGCUCAGAUUGAACGCUGGCGGCAUGCCUUACACAUGCAAGUCGAACGGCAGCACGGGAGCUUGCUCCUGGGUGGCGAGUGGCGAACGGGUGAGUAAUGCAUCGGAACGUAUCCUGGAGUGGGGGAUAACGUAGCGAAAGUUACGCUAAUACCGCAUAUUCUGUGAGCAGGAAAGCGGGGGACCGUUCGGGCCGUCGCGCUCUUGGAGCGGCCGAUGUCGGAUUAGCUAGUUGGUGAGGUAAAGGCUCACCAAGGCGACGAUCCGUAGCAGGUCUGAGAGGAUGAUCUGCCACACUGGAACUGAGACACGGUCCAGACUCCUACGGGAGGCAGCAGUGGGGAAUUUUGGACAAUGGGGGCAACCCUGAUCCAGCCAUGCCGCGUGAGUGAAGAAGGCC
rnacentral:rRNA from 1 species